GCCUGGGUGGCUCAGUCGGUUGAGCUUCCGGCUUCAGCUCAGGUCAUGAUCCCACGGUUUGUGGGUUCGAGCCCCGCAUCAGGCU
rfam:Felis catus isolate Cinnamon breed Abyssinian chromosome A2, whole genome shotgun sequence.